GCAGACCCUGGUCGCACUGACGCUCAGCACGAAACGUGGGAGCAAACAGGAUAGAUCCCUGGUAGUCCACGCCCUAACGAUGUCUCCUAGUUGUUGGGGAGGGAGACCUCCUUGGUGACGCAGCUAACGCGUGAAGUAGACCGCCUGGGGAGUACGGUCGCAAGAUUAAAACUCAAAGGAAUUGACGGGGGCCCGCACAAGCGGUGGAUUAUGUGGAUUAAUUCGAUGCAACGCGAAAAACCUUACCUGGCCUUGACAUGCCACUAACGAAGCAGAGAUGCAUCAGGUGCUCGAAAGAGAAAGUGGACACAGGUGCUGCAUGGCUGUCGUCAGCUCGUG
rnacentral:rRNA from 1 species